GAUUUUUUCCUCUCCUCUCUUAUUUUUUCCUCUCUUCUCUUCUUCUCUUCUUCUCUUCUUGCUGAAUUUUUCAAAAUCUUUAGAUCCCAUUAUUUUACUUCGUAGAUGGGGUGGUAUUUUAUACAUUUUUAUUUCAGCCAGGGGAGGCAAACAAAGAAGAGCCACCUGUGAGAAAUCUUGUCAACCAAAUAGCUCAUUGUCUAUACAUAUGGUUAGGUGGCCUGGUGGACUUCCUCCCAUGGGGUAUGAAACGAUUGCAUAUCGUGUUUCUAUGCUCCUUGUUUUUUCAAUGGAAUAAAAAAAAAUUAGAUUUAUUAUUAAGCUCUGAUGGUGUGGUAUGGUGACAAUGUCAUGAUGAUGGAGAGCAUAUUUAGGAUUUUUUUGAUAGAUUGGGCGGAUGACGGAGGGGCAGAAAAAUCCGUGCACAAAAAGUUUGUUUGACCGAGAUAAGAUGUGUUGUGCACGAUUUCUCUCUACAAAGCAGGCACAUUGCGAUUGAGUUUGUCUGGCGGGAAUAAGAUGCGCUGUGCAAGGUGACGAGCUGGUGAUUCAUUAUAGCUUGCUAAUGAUAUUAACAGUGGCAUUAUUUUGCUCAUAUUUACUUGGGAAAACUUUUGUGUGUGUGUUUGGAGGACAUUAUUCAUGGAACUAGAGAUUUAACAAUUUUUAGUAUUUCAUUGGGCUAUUGAACUCUCUUGUAGUUGAAGCUCUUGAUUAAUUCAUAUUUAUAUUACUUGAGUGAUUCUUCGAAAAGAGUUAUUUCGAAAUGA